rnacentral:rRNA from 1 species
AUUGAACGCUGGCGGCAGGCCUAACACAUGCAAGUCGAGCGGAUGAAGGGAGCUUGCUCCUGGUUUCAGCGGCGGACGGGUGAGUAAUGCCUAGGAAUCUGCCUGGUAGUGGGGUAUAACGUCCGGAAACGGGCGCUAAUACCGCAUACGUCCUGAGGGAGAAAGUGGGGGAUCUUCGGACCUCACGCUAUCAGAUGAGCCUAGGUCGGAUUAGCUAGUUGGUUGGGUAAAGGCCUACCAAGGCGACGAUCCGUAACUGGUCUGAGAGGAUGAUCAGUCACCCUGGAACUUAGACACGGUCCAGAGUCCUACGGGAGGCAGCAGUGGGGAAUAUUAGACAAUGGGCGAAAGCCUGAUACAGCCAUGCCGCGUGAGUGGAGAAGGUCUUCGGAUUGUAAAGCACUUUAAGUUGGGAGGAAGGGCAGUAAGUUAAUACCUUGCUGUUGUGACGUUACCAACAGAAUAAGCACCGGCUAACUUCGUG